rnacentral:rRNA from 1 species
AGAGUUAAAUAGUACGUGAAAUUGUUGAAAGGGAAACGAUUGAAGUCAGUCGUACCGGCGGAUAAUCAGCCUUUCGGGUGCGAUUCUGUGGAAGGUGAGGAGUUAAACGCCUUCAUUAUCUGCAUAUUCGUGCACUUUGGGUGUACUUGUCCGUAUGGUAGGUUAACAUCAAUUUUGGUCGUUAUAAAAUGGCUAGAGGAAUGUAGCUUUGAUCUCGUAUUGAAGUGUUAUAGCCUCUGGUAGAUGUAAUGAUUAGGAUUGAGGAUUGCAACGGAUACCUUUUAGGCUAUCUGUCUGGCUUCUGGUUAUCGCUUUGGUGCCGAAAGCUUGCUUACGGUAUUAAAGUUGACGUUCAACAGGUUAGAACGGGAUAAAUUCGUUAAGGAUGUUGACGUAAUGGCUUUAAACGACC